UACGGAGGGGGUUAGCGUUGUUCGGAAUUACUGGGCGUAAAGCGCGCGUAGGCGGAUUGGAAAGUUGGGGGUGAAAUCCCGGGGCUCAACCUCGGAACUGCCUCCAAAACUCCCAGUCUUGAGUUCGAGAGAGGUGAGUGGAACUCCGAGUGUAGAGGUGAAAUUCGUAGAUAUUCGGAAGAACACCAGUGGCGAAGGCGGCUCACUGGCUCGAUACUGACGCUGAGGUGCGAAAGUGUGGGGAGCAAACAGG
rnacentral:rRNA from 1 species